GUUCCUGUAGCACAAUGGAUAGCGUAUUGGACUUAAAAUCUAAAGGUCGUGGGUUCGAAUUCCACCAGGAAUG